UGCAUGUCUCCGAAUAUUACUGAAGCAAUUCUCUCUGAAUCUGCGAACGGCUCCGCAAACCAGUUGUAAACCAAAGCGAGCAGAUCCCGGACAGUCUGUUGAUUGGACGGGGUGAUAAGGAUAUCCCUGGUAAUUCUGAGGCUAAUACAAGUACGUAGCACCCGCUUAACUGGUAGACCAGCAGAAGGGCGGGGGGUGUGUGCUGUAGCAAAGAUUCCAGGAGGGGGCACACGCUCUGACCACGCUAAUUAGUCUGGAGAUCCUUCGGGUGAUCCUUUCUGAGUGGCUCUUGCGAGGUGCUUCUGACCUAUCAACUAGAUGGCAGCCUAACGGACAUGCCAUGGUUACAACGGGUACAGAGGAUUAGGGUUCGAUCCUGGAGAGUGGGCCUGAGAGAUUGCUCAUACUUCUAAGGAAGGCAGCAGGCGCGCAACGUUCCCCUUGGGCGAAGCCCGAGGGCGUUAGGGGACAUAUGAAUGGUCGCCUUUUAGGUGGCCAAUUCAAAUGGGUCUGUUCUAAACAGCCUAUCGAGUAACAAUUAGAGGAC
rnacentral:rRNA from 1 species